rnacentral:rRNA from 1 species
CAUGCAAGUCGGGCGGUAACACAGGGAGCUUGCUCCCGGGUGACGAGCGGCGGACGGGUGAGUAAUGUCUGGGAAACUGCCUGAUGGAGGGGGAUAACUACUGGAAACGGUAGCUAAUACCGCAUAAUGUCGCAAGACCAAAGAGGGGGACCUUCGGGCCUCUUGCCAUCAGAUGUGCCCAGAUGGGAUUAGCUAGUAGGUGGGGUAAUGGCUCACCUAGGCGACGAUCCCUAGCUGGUCUGAGAGGAUGACCAGCCACACUGGAACUGAGACACGGUCCAGACUCCUACGGGAGGCAGCAGUGGGGAAUAUUGCACAAUGGGCGCAAGCCUGAUGCAGCCAUGCCGCGUGUAUGAAGAAGGCCUUCGGGUUGUAAAGUACUUUCAGCGGGGAGGAAGGCGUUGUGGUUAAUAACCACAGCGAUUGACGUUACCCGCAGAAGAAGCACCGGCUAACUCCGUGCCAGCAGCCGCGGUAAUACGGAGGGUGCAAGCGUUAAUCGGAAUUACUGGGCGUAAAGCGCACGCAGGCGGUCUGUCAAGUCGGAUGUGAAAUCCCCGGGCUCAACCUGGGAACUGCAUUCGAAACUGGCAGGCUAGAGUCUUGUAGAGGGGGGUAGAAUUCCAGGUGUAGCGGUGAAAUGCGUAGAGAUCUGGAGGAAUACCGGUGGCGAAGGCGGCCCCCUGGACAAAGACUGACGCUCAGGUGCGAAAGCGUGGGGAGCAAACAGGAUUAGAUACCCUGGUAGUCCACGCCGUAAACGAUGUCGACUUGGAGGUUGUUCCCUUGAGGAGUGGCUUCCGGAGCUAACGCGUUAAGUCGACCGCCUGGGGAGUACGGCCGCAAGGUUAAAACUCAAAUGAAUUGACGGGGGCCCGCACAAGCGGUGGAGCAUGUGGUUUAAUUCGAUGCAACGCGAAGAACCUUACCUACUCUUGACAUCCAGAGAACUUAGCAGAGAUGCUUUGGUGCCUUCGGGAACUCUGAGACAGGUGCUGCAUGGCUGUCGUCAGCUCGUGUUGUGAAAUGUUGGGUUAAGUCCCGCAACGAGCGCAACCCUUAUCCUUUGUUGCCAGCGGUUAGGCCGGGAACUCAAAGGAGACUGCCAGUGAUAAACUGGAGGAAGGUGGGGAUGACGUCAAGUCAUCAUGGCCCUUACGAGUAGGGCUACACACGUGCUACAAUGGCAUAUACAAAGAGAAGCGACCUCGCGAGAGCAAGCGGACCUCAUAAAGUAUGUCGUAGUCCGGAUUGGAGUCUGCAACUCGACUCCAUGAAGUCGGAAUCGCUAGUAAUCGUAGAUCAGAAUGCUACGGUGAAUACGUUCCCGGGCCUUGUACACACCGCCCGUCACACCAUGGGAGUGGGUUGCAAAAGAAGUAGGUAGCUUAACCUUCGGGAGGGCGCUUACCACU